rnacentral:misc_RNA from 1 species
GAUGAAGAACGCAGCGAAAUGCGAUACGUAAUGUGAAUUGCAAAUUCAGUGAAUCAUCGAGUCUUUGAACGCACAUUGCGCCCCCUGGUAUUCCGGGGGGCAUGCCUGUCCGAGCGUCAUUGCUGCCCUCAAGCACGGCUUGUGUGUUGGGCCCCGUCCUCCGAUCCCGGGGGACGGGCCCGAAAGGCAGCGGCGGCACCGCGUCCGGUCCUCGAGCGUAUGGGGCUUUGUCACCCGCUCUGUAGGCCCGGCCGGCGCUUGCCGAUCAACCCAAAUUUUUAUCCAGGUUGACCUCGGAUCAGGUAGGGAUACCCGAUGAACUUAAGCAUAUCAAUAAGCGGAGGA